rnacentral:rRNA from 1 species
AGUGAACGCUGGCGGUAGGCCUAACACAUGCAAGUCGAACGGGAGCACAGUAAGAGCUUGCUCUUACGGGUGGCGAGUGGCGGACGGGUGAGGAAUACAUCGGAAUCUACUUUUUCGUGGGGGAUAACGUAGGGAAACUUACGCUAAUACCGCAUACGACCUACGGGUGAAAGCAGGAGAUCUUCGGACCUUGCGCGAUUGAAUGAGCCGAUGUCGGAUUAGCUAGUUGGCGGGGUAAAGGCCCACCAAGGCGACGAUCCGUAGCUGGUCUGAGAGGAUGAUCAGCCACACUGGAACUGGAACACGGUCCAGACUCCUACGGGAGGCAGCAGUGGGGAAUAUUGGACAAUGGGCGCAAGCCUGAUCCAGCCAUCCCGCGUGGGUGAAGAAGGCCUUCGGGUUGUAAAGCCCUUUUGUUGGGAAAGAAAAGCAGCAGGUUAAUACCCCGCUGUUCUGACGGUACCCAAAGCAUAAGCACCGGCUAACUUCGUG